GAUGAACGCUGGCGGCGUGCCUAAUACAUGCAAGUCGAGCGAACGGACGAGAAGCUUGCUUCUCUGAUAUUAGCGGCGGACGGGUGAGUAACACGUGGAUAACCUACCUAUAAGACUGGGAUAACUUCGGGAAACCGUAGCUAAUACCGGAUAAUAUUUUGAACCGCAUGGUUCAAAAGUGAAAGACGGCCUUGCUGUCACUUAUAGAUGGAUCCGCGCUGCAUUAGCUAGUUGGUAAGGUAACGGCUUACCAAGGCAACGAUGCAUAGCCGACCUGAGAGGGUGAUCGGCCACACUGGAACUGAGACACGGUCCAGACUCCUACGGGAGGCAGCAGUAGGGAAUCUUCCGCAAUGGGCGAAAGCCUGACGGAGCAACGCCGCGUGAGUGAUGAAGGUCUUCGGAUCGUAAAACUCUGUUAUUAGGGAAGAACAUAUGUGUAAGUAACUGUGCACAUCUUGACGGUACCUAAUCAGAAAGCCACGGCUAACUACGUG
rnacentral:rRNA from 1 species